rnacentral:lncRNA from 1 species
CUAGCCUCGGAAGAAAAUGAGUAUUUUACUGAAUGAAAUGCAAUUGAAAGAAGCAAUAAUGGAGGAGAAAAACAAGAUAGACUGAGAGAGAAAGCCAGAUCAUUAAAACAGAAGGAAAACAGGGAUACAAUUUUGUGGAUGAAAAGCUAGACAGUGAUUCAGGGCAUGCCGCAAGCAGCUCUGUGGUCAAUUGCUUUGUAUCCAUCAAAAGACAAGUGAAGAGCAGAAAGCAGAGGUAGAAUUUAAUGAAAAGCUGAAGAGGCAGAAACUGGUGAAAGAGAAGAUGUUCUCAGAAUUCCGAGCAGAAGACUAAUCAGCCAAGGAAACAUGAGAAACUCAAGAGCUUCAGGAAGAGCUGGAGGAGAACACGCAACUGGGUCAGAAUGCCCAGGUCACCAGCAUCCAGGUGCAAAAGCAGGUAGUGCAACAGCUAGAGGAAGAGGAGGCGCACCUUAUGGAAAUAGAAAAUGCACAGAUUAAACUUGAGAAUGAACAGGAUAAGCUGUAAAAAGAGGAGACAAAGCAGAAAAUUGAAACCGUCUUGCAAAAAGUCUUCCAAGAGAAGGUGGAACGUAUUUGACAGAAAUACAGAAAAGAGCAGGACUUGAACAUGAAUUUUGUGGAAGGGCCCUUCAAGACUUACAGGAAGAAGCUGAUUAAAAAAGAACAAAGGUGAGACAGGAGAAGGAAACAGAAGAAAUCAUUAGACAAAAUAGUAGAGGCAGAGAAGGAAAAAAAAAGUUGGCCAAGGACAGGAAGGUAAGAUUCGAAAAGGAGGCAAGGAAACAACUUGUGAAUGAGGUUAUGUGUACAGGAAAAGUUCAAGUUCAAGAAACAUUGCAAAGAAAAGCAAAAUAAUAGAAAAGAUAUGCUAUGGAACAGGAUUGCAUAAAUGAAGGUUUUAAAGAACUUAAGGAUGAAGAGGAGAAUUUUGGAGAUGCAGUGGUUUAGCUUAGGAGUAUAAGAGACAACUGCAAACGCAAAUAUUCCACCAGCAGCAGGCCCGGGAAGCAGAGAAGAAAGAGGAACACUGAGUGUUUGAAGCAGGGAUAACAGCAAACAGGAUUUGCCAGGACAAAAUUCAGGAGAUACCAAGCACCUAUCAAGUGCUAUCCAGAAAUACUCAUUUUAUGUGGGAAGUAUGCCCUAAUAGGCUUCCAGC